CAGUAGCCACGGUAAUACGGAGGGGGCUAGCGUUGUUCGGAAUUACUGGGCGUAAAGCGCACGUAGGCGGCUUGGUAAGUUAGAGGUGAAAGCCCGGAGCUCAACUCCGGAAUUGCCUUUAAGACUGCCGAGCUAGUAGGUGAGAGAGGUAAGUGGAAUUCCGAGUGUAGAGGUGAAAUUCGUAGAUAUUCGGAAGAACACCAGUGGCGAAGGCGGCUUACUGGCUCAUUCUAGACGCUGAGGUGCGAAAGCGUGGGGAGCAAACAGGAUUAGAUACCCGUGUAGUCCCUGUCUCUUAUAC
rnacentral:rRNA from 1 species